GCAUUGCAGUCGAGCGGAUGAGUGGAGCUUGCUCCAUGAUUCAGCGGCGGACGGGUGAGUAAUGCCUAGGAAUCUGCCUGGUAGUGGGGGAUAACGUUUCGAAAGGAACGCUAAUACCGCAUACGUCCUACGGGAGAAAGUGGGGGAUCUUCGGACCUCACGCUAUCAGAUGAGCCUAGGUCGGAUUAGCUAGUUGGUGGGGUAAUGGCCCACCAAGGCGACGAUCCGUAACUGGUCUGAGAGGAUGAUCAGUCACACUGGAACUGAGACACGGUCCAGACUCCUACGGGAGGCAGCAGUGGGGAAUAUUGGACAAUGGGCGAAAGCCUGAUCCAGCCAUGCCGCGUGUGUGAAGAAGGUCUUCGGAUUGUAAAGCACUUUAAGUUGGGAGGAAGGGCAGUAAGUUAAUACCUUGCUGUUUUGACGUUACCAACAGAAUAAGCACCGGCUAACUUCGUGCCAGCAGCCGCGGUAAUACGAAGGGUGCAAGCGUUAAUCGGAAUUACUGGGCGUAAAGCGCGCGUAGGUGGUUCAGCAAGUUGGAUGUGAAAGCCCCGGGCUCAACCUGGGAAUUGCAUCCAAAACUACUGAGCUAGAGUACGGUAGAGGGUGGUGGAAUUUCCUGUGUAGCGGUGAAAUGCGUAGAUAUAGGAAGGAACACCAGUGGCGAAGGCGACCACCUGGACUGAUACUGACACUGAGGUGCGAAAGCGUGGGGAGCAAACAGGAUUAGAUACCCUGGUAGUCCACGCCGUAAACGAUGUCGACUAGCCGUUGGGAUCCUUGAGAUCUUAGUGGCGCAGCUAACGCGAUAAGUCGACCGCCUGGGGAGUACGGCCGCAAGGUUAAAACUCAAAUGAAUUGACGGGGGCCCGCACCCAA
rnacentral:rRNA from 1 species